rnacentral:tRNA from 1 species
AGUCCUGUGGCGCAGUGGUAGCGCGCCGUUCUUAUAUAAGCUGUCAUGUGACAUCAACUUAUAUGAUCAUAUCCUUGUGAUGCGGAUGCCGUGGGUUCGAUCCCCACCAGGACUA